rnacentral:rRNA from 1 species
CCUACGGGUGGCAGCAGUGGGGAAUAUUGCACAAUGGGCGAAAGCCUGAUGCAGCAACGCCGCGUGAGCGAUGAAGGCCUUCGGGUCGUAAAGCGCUGUCCUCAAGGAAGAUAAUGACGGUACUUGAGGAGGAAGCCCCGGCUAACUACGUGCCAGCAGCCGCGGUAAUACGUAGGGGGCUAGCGUUAUCCGGAAUGACUGGGCGUAAAGGGUGCGUAGGUGGUUUGUUGAGGCAGGGGUGAAAGGCUACGGCAAAACCGUAGUAUACCUGUGAAACUGGGAAACUUGAGUGCAUGAGAGGAAAGUGGAAUUCCUAGUGUAGCAGUGAAAUGCGUAGAUAUUAGAAGGAACACCAGUUGCGAAGGCAGGUCUCUGGACUGUAACUGACACUGAGGCACGAAAGCGUAGGGAGCAAACAGGAUUAGAUUCCCUGGUAGUC